rnacentral:rRNA from 1 species
GACGAACGCUGGCGGCGUGCUUAACACAUGCAAGUCGAACGGAAAGGCCUGCUUUCCCUUGUGGAUUGCGGGUACUCGAGUGGCGAACGGGUGAGUAACACGUGAGUGAUCUGCCCCCAACUUGGGUAUAAGCCUGGGAAACUGGGUCUAAUUCCCGAUAGGACUGCAGGGUGGUGCCUGCGGUGGAAAACGAUUUUCUAGUGGUUGGGGAUGAGCUCGCGGCCUAUCAGCUUGUUGGUGGGGUAAUGGCCUACCAAGGCGGCGACGGGUAGCCGGCCUGAGAGGGUGGACGGCCACAUUGGGACUGAGAUACGGCCCAGACUCCUACGGGAGGCAGCAGUGGGGAAUAUUGCACAAUGGGCGGAAGCCUGAUGCAGCGACGCCGCGUGGGGGAUGACGGCCUUCGGGUUGUAAACUCCUUUCGACCGCGAGGAAGCCACCUGGUUGGAAGGGUGGUGACGGUAGUGGUAGAAGAAGCACCGGCUAACUACGUG